rnacentral:rRNA from 1 species
CGGAGGGUGCGAGCGUUGUCCGGAAUCACUGGGCGUAAAGGGCGCGUAGGUGGCCCGUUAAGUUGCCGGUGAAAUCCCGCGGCUCAACCGCGGGGCUGCCGGUAAGACUGGCGGGCUCGAGCACGGUAGAGGCAGAUGGAAUUCCCGGUGUAGCGGUGGAAUGCGUAGAGAUCGGGAAGAACACCAGUGGCGAAGGCGUUCUGCUGGGCCGUUGCUGACACUGAGGCGCGACAGCGUGGGGAGCAAACAGGAUUAGAUACCCUGGUAGUCCACGCCGUAAACGAUGGACACUAGGCGUCGGGGGGAGCGACCCCCUCGGUGCCGUCGCUAACGCAGUAAGUGUCCCGCCUGGGGAGUACGGCCGCUUUGGCUG